AGAUGCGAGAGUAGAGCAUAUCAAUAAGCGGAGGAAAAGAAACUAACAAGGAUUCGCCUCAGUAACGGCGAGUGAAGCGGGAAGAGCUCAAAUUUGAGAUCUUCGAGGUUCUACCUUGACGAAUUGUAGUUUAUAGAAGUGUUUUCUGUAGUGGAGUUUGGUAAAAGUUCUUUGGAAUAGGACAUCAUAGAGGGUGAGAAUCCCGUAUUUGGUCAUUCCUCCUAGCGUUGUGAUACACUUUCAACGAGUCGGAUUGUUUGGGAAUGCAGUCCAAAAUGGGUGGUAAAUUUCAUCUAAAGCUAAAUAUUGGCGAGAGACCGAUAGCGAACAAGUACCGUGAGGGAAAGAUGAAAAGAACUUUGAAAAGAGAGUUAAGCAGUACGUGAAAUUGUCAAAAGGGAAGCGUUUGACACCAGUGUUGUUUUUCCGAAAAUCAAUUACGAAUGUUUUAUUUUUGAGGAGUUAUGACUUCAUCGGCUUGCUUCUCUCUUUAUGAAACUUUCUUAAUGCACUUUUCGGUUAACAAGUCAACAUCAAUUUCUUUUGUUGUAAAAGGGUAUGAGGAAGGUGGCUUUCUUUUCGGAGAAAGUGUUUAUAGCCUUGUAGCCUCUGCAAUCGGAGAGAUUGAGGUCUGCAGCGUAGAUCCUUCGGGGUUAGAUACGUUUGUGCUAAGUUAUAGCCUUUCAUAGACAACUUGUUGACUAUGAUUAGUCAUUGUAGCUUACUCGCUUAUGCUAUUUUACCUACGCUUAGGAUGUUGACACACGCGCGUGCUCG
rnacentral:rRNA from 1 species